AUUUAAUGCCGGGCAGCUGAGGGGAACUGGAAUCCCUGCGUGGAGGUGUGCACAGGGUUAGGUUUUCGUCGCCGUGGCUUCGGAGAUGGUAGCGAGUGGAAUAAGGGAUGGCCGGGCUUCUCCCCGUCCGUACGGCGUCAGAUACGGUGCCCGCGAGGAGUCGGAGACCUUUUGUAUCGCGGAUCCGGUCGACCGGAGCCUGUGGUGGUGAUUCUCUUCACUGGAAACUGCGCCGGCGAUGGUGGCAGCUCCCGGCGAGGCGACGGUUGUUGGGGCUUCAGUCCCUGUUUGUUUGGGGGACGAGGUUUGCAGCAGUUCUUCAUCCUUUGCGUCUCCGGUGAGCUGGAGUCUUGGUGGAGGCAUGGAGCCAUCCAAUCUGUGGAGAUUAUCCCCGGCCGAUGCGCCCGAACCCGACCUUUGUUCCUGUUCGCUGGACAGGAUCUACAUGCGGCCUCCAAAGCCUUUGAAGGCGAUGCACUAUGCAGAUGGAUGGUUUCUCGACGGCGGUUCGAGUAGACGGUGAGCGGCCGACCGGCUUGAUGGCAGCGGUGAGCGGCGUAUUUUUCUGUUUCGGUGAGAUUUCUUCAUCUUUGUGUCUCAUGUACGCAUGCGUACUGUUCUUUUUGCUGGAUGCAUGAGUGGCGUGUUCUGUUUGCUGUAUAAAUGCCUGGACAGCUGAUGAAGGUGUCCGAUUUGCUCGCAUGCUGCCAUCAUGGGUGUUUGUUGUAGAGAGAUCGGGGGAUUUUGUUGUUGUUGAGAAAAGGACACAUACACCUCAUGUAUUCAUCCAGCAAAUGAGACGGUACAUAUGCGUAUAUGAGAACAGUACCUUCAUUGGAGGAACUGAACGGGUGAUCUAUGUGUUUUCGUCUGCAAUUGAUUGGCUACAACAACAAAAAACUCUUGAUUUUUUGGUUGAAAUAAUUUAUAAAGCUGUCGGAUGCACUGCUACUAAUCUUCCUUCAGCCAGAUAUCUCACUCAUCUUGAUCCUCCAAGUCAUUUUUUUCUUAGUCAGGUUUUAUGUUUAGACAACUAGAUUUAUGUGAAAUUGUACCUUGACAUGUUUUUUUUGCAUGAAGGUCAUUGCUACAGAUGUCAAAUAAAUUUACCAUAUGUAUGUACUAUAGUCUGCUCUUGCAAUCAUCUGCCAGAGUUAGGAAACAUCUGCGCCCUCAACGCCAUGUGGAACAUGUUUAAUUCCUCUCUCUGUAUGAGGUUCUCCCUGAUUCCUCAAUUUCCAAUUCUCCUGCAGCAUGUUGUUUUUUUGCUGAUAGAUUAUUACCAUGAACUUGACAUCUUUAUCAUUUUUAACUUGCUUUCAUUUGUAUUUUCACGUGAGUCAAUGCUCAUAUUACGAAUCCCAUCUCCAGCCUUCAUACUAAGUUAAACUAUGAACAUUUUCAGGCAUCUCAAAGUAAGGACAUGUUGUCACUUCCAGGUUCCAGCCAAACAAGCGGUGAGAGUGUUGUCAUUAUCCUUUGGAACACUGCUUUAUAGUCCAACUAUCCUUAGAGAAGCGACCUCACAAGAUAAUACAUCAGCAGUCAGUGUAGUUGCUUCUGAUGAUACAGAAAAAAAUUCAAACGAGAAACCCCGGUACAAAAUAAAAAGUCGAAUUUACUGAAGAUGCUAGCAGCAAAUUCAAAAGGCCGUUUACAGAUAACAAUGAACACGUACAAAUCACCAUUACUGUCAGAAAAUCAACAAAUCAACAUCCUACAAGGUAAAUCCUAUCAUUCUUCCAUACAUUUAUAGAAGAAAAUUAAAAUACAUAUUCUGAUUUGACAUGACCUUCUAUUCCCACUAUUAAACCACAACAGCAGAAAGAAUUUGAUCUUACUCAGAAUUCCUCCGGUGCAGCAUGCAUCUAAUUGUUCAUGAUUUGUUUAUUUUUCUACAUCAAUUGUUCCACCUUUGAAAAUCAUAUGCUUGAUAUUCUUAAAUGAACCUUUGCUACAUAUAAAUUAUUAAAAUUACCUAAGUUUCUUCGGUUUAAGAUUAGGUAGAUUCUUUAUUAAGUGGUAGCUCUAAGAGUUUUUAGGACCACCAGUACACAAGACACCUAUUGUCUUUGAAUUAAAAUAACCUGAAAGAAUGGCACUUGAUAGAAACAACACAAGGCACUAUGGUACAUACAUCUAUGUCAAGAUGUGUAUCAAAAUUUUCUGUGUCUUUAUGUGGCACUGCAAGAACGACGGGAAACAUUUGAGGACAGGCAAAGUAAUGCCAGAAGAAAAAAAUAUCUACGAAGGUAUUAUCUAACAGAAUGAACCAGUUCUUCAGAAUGAACACACUCAUGGUACGAUCCACUUAAUACCGUCCUAAUAAUACUGCAACGUUUACACAUUGUAGGGUAGGCUAUGCUACAAUAGAGAUACAUGCUUCAUUUUCUUCCAUGCCAGUUACCUAUAUAUAGUAGUAUAAAUAAUUGCUAUCUUGAUCGCCACCUAUUCUUCAGCGGUAUAAAAUUACAAAAGUAUCAUCAUGUUGGACUACAUGUAUCUACAUCAACUGUUAUCAUGCACAUAUUUUCUGUAAACCUCCAUUGUGAGGCAUUUGGUGUCCUCUUCACCUUACCUUAAUGUACACCACCAGCUAUGCAUUAUGUGCAAGACUGCUGUACUGUUUUAUUACUUGAGAUUUUUUUUCGUGUCCUUUCUUAGGAAAUUCCUGAAAAAAGUCCCGCAGCAACGCGCGGGGCAUCAUCUAGUUUAAUUAAUGCACAUAUACUUGGUAAAGGGUGGAAGGCUCGACCUUUUGCCUAGCAUUUUGUUCCACUCUUGACACCCUAG